rnacentral:misc_RNA from 1 species
CAUGCUCGAGCAUCGAACUGCUAGCAAAUGAUCUCUUCAUCAUACGCCCAGUUUCACAACAGACAAUUGGGCAAUGCCUCGGGUUCCUGUGCUGCAUACCCACGCAAGUGGAAUUUUUAAGAAGAUGCCUAUUUAUUUCGCCUCGUGCUCCCUUCGGGGCGUGGGGCGAACAUUGCGGCGGUGCCCGUGUCCCGUACAUGCUCUCGGGCUGUCUUGGUGCAUGGGUUGCCGUUCGUGUUGUGGGAUGCGGAAUGCUUUGCUUGGGCGGAGGGCGUAUAACCCCUCUAUUUGCCCAAUUGUCCCUAAUAACGGAACGACACACGAGCCCGCUUCGGUCCAUUUGCAUGCCGCUCCAGGCAUGCGAGGGUUCCGUGCGGGCGACGGUGUCUCGGAGGAAUGC